GGGCCCGCACAAGCGGCGGAGCAUGCGGAUUAAUUCGAUGCAACGCGAAGAACCUUACCUGGGUUUGACAUAUGCCGGAAAGCUGUAGAGAUGCAGUCCCCGCAAGGUCGGUAUACAGGUGGUGCAUGGCUGUCGUCAGCUCGUGUCGUGAGAUGUUGGGUUAAGUCCCGCAACGAGCGCAACCCUCGUUCUAUGUUGCCAGCACGUGAUGGUGGGGACUCAUAGGAGACUGCCGGGGUCAACUCGGAGGAAGGUGGGGAUGACGUCAAGUCAUCAUGCCCCUUAAGUCCAGGGCUUCACGCAUGCUACAAUGGCUGGUACAAAGGGCUGCGAUACCGUAAGGUGGAGCGAAUCCCAAAAAGCCAGUCUCAGUUCGGAUUGGGGUCUGCAACUCGACCCCAUGAAGUCGGAGUCGCUAGUAAUCGCAGA
rnacentral:rRNA from 1 species